CCCUGACUAGCUCCAUUGGUAGUGCAUGAGACUCACAAUCUCAGGGUAGUGGGUUCAUGUCCCAAGUCAGGCG
rnacentral:tRNA from 1 species